rnacentral:rRNA from 1 species
UACGUAGGUGGCAAGCGUUUGUCCGGAAUUAUUGGGCGUAAAGCGCGCGCAGGCGGUCCUUUAAGUCUGAUGUGAAAGCCCACGGCUCAACCGUGGAGGGUCAUUGGAAACUGGGGGACUUGAGUGCAGAAGAGGAAAGCGGAAUUCCACGUGUAGCGGUGAAAUGCGUAGAGAUGUGGAGGAACACCAGUGGCGAAGGCGGCUUUCUGGUCUGUAACU